AGAGUUUGAUCCUGGCUCAGAUUGAACGCUGGCGGCAUGCUUUACACAUGCAAGUCGGACGGCAGCACAGAGAAGCUUGCUUCUUGGGUGGCGAGUGGCGAACGGGUGAGUAAUAUAUCGGAACGUACCGAGUAAUGGGGGAUAACUAAUCGAAAGAUUAGCUAAUACCGCAUAUUCUCUGAGGAGGAAAGCAGGGGACCUUCGGGCCUUGCGUUAUUCGAGCGGCCGAUAUCUGAUUAGCUAGUUGGUGGGGUAAAGGCCUACCAAGGCGACGAUCAGUAGCGGGUCUGAGAGGAUGAUCCGCCACACUGGGACUGAGACACGGCCCAGACUCCUACGGGAGGCAGCAGUGGGGAAUUUUGGACAAUGGGCGCAAGCCUGAUCCAGCCAUGCCGCGUGUCUGAAGAAGGCCUUCGGGUUGUAAAGGACUUUUGUCAGGGAAGAAAAGGCUGUUGCUAAUAUCGACAGCUGAUGACGGUACCUGAAGAAUAAGCACCGGCUAACUACGUGCCAGCAGCCGCGGUAAUACGUAGGGUGCGAGCGUUAAUCGGAAUUACUGGGCGUAAAGCGAGCGCAGACGGUUACUUAAGCAGGAUGCGAAAUCCCCGGGCUCAACCUGGGAACUGCGUUCUGAACUGGGUGACUAGAGUGUGUCAGAGGGAGGUAGAAUUCCACGUGUAGCAGUGAAAUGCGUAGAGAUGUGGAGGAAUACCGAUGGCGAAGGCAGCCUCCUGGGAUAACACUGACGUUCAUGCUCGAAAGCGUGGGUAGCAAACAGGAUUAGAUACCCUGGUAGUCCACGCCCUAAAC
rnacentral:rRNA from 1 species